rnacentral:rRNA from 1 species
AGUGAACGCUGGCGGUAGGCCUAACACAUGCAAGUCGAACGGCAGCACAGUAAGAGCUUGCUCUUACGGGUGGCGAGUGGCGGACGGGUGAGGAAUACAUCGGAAUCUACUUUUUCGUGGGGGAUAACGUAGGGAAACUUACGCUAAUACCGCAUACGACCUACGGGUGAAAGCAGGGGAUCUUCGGACCUUGCGCGAUUGAAUGAGCCGAUGUCGGAUUAGCUGGUUGGCGGGGUAAAGGCCCACCAAGGCGACGAUCCGUAGCUGAUCUGAGAGGAUGAUCAGCCACACUGGAACUGAGACACGGUCCAGACUCCUACGGGAGGCAGCAGUGGGGAAUAUUGGACAAUGGGCGCAAGCCUGAUCCAGCCAUACCGCGUGGGUGAAGAAGGCCUUCGGGUUGUAAAGCCCUUUUGUUGGGAAAGAAAAGCAGCAGGUUAAUACCCCGCUGUUCUGACGGUACCCAAAGAAUAAGCACCGGCUAACUUCGUG